AAGUGAAGGAUAACAACGCGCAAGCGUUGGCCCGAAGGGCGAGGCCAGAGGCCGAGUCAUCCUGCACGACCCACCA
rnacentral:sRNA from 1 species